GCUUUGCGCAGCUUCGGAAGAAGAGGCGCUGCGCCGGCGUGUGUCCGGCGAGACGCGGCGUCUGGAGCGCGUGGCCCGGAGCGAGCUCGGGUGAAGAGGGGAGCCGGCGCCGCCCUGCCUUCCUGCCCGGGCAUCCGCCCGGCCUCUGUGCGGUGGCUGAGGCCCAAGGUGGCGGCAGGCAGAUCUUCGCCUCUGUGUUGAAGCCCGUCUUAAGCCAGCCUUCGGGGAUAAGAGCCAAAUCAAAAUGGCAAAAAGCAUAAGAAGCAAAUGGAAGAGAAAGAUGAGAGCAGAGAAGAGGAAGAAAAAUGCCCCCAAGGAGCUUGCCAGAUUGAAGAGCAUCCUGCAAACAAAUACUGAUGUUCUAAUGGAUGAAGUAAAAGAAAUUGCAACUGUCAUAGCUGCUGAGAAAGUUACUGAGAAAAAGGAUCCUGAUGAUGAUACCAAGAUGGACACGGAUGCCAAAAGAAAUAAGAAAACUCUUCUGGAUGAACAUGGACAGUAUCCAGUAUGGAUGAACCCCAGGCAGAGGAAGAAACUUAAGGCAAAGCGUGGCAAAGGAAAAAAUAAGCCCAAAGCACCAAAGGGAUUAGCAUGGUAGAGUCCAAGGGGAAGGCUACAUUGCUGCCUUGCAUAGUGACCAGUUGCAGAACAUUGCAAAGCCUAUUGGAUGAAGGGUCCAGAUAAGCAAAUGGAAGCAGAAGAAAUGGAAGGCUCUAAUUGCUGGGAGACAGAUCACACUUUUUCAGAGAAAGGGAAAAACUGAACAUGGGAAUGGGCCUGCUGAACUUCCUACUUUGCACUCUGUGCUCAAAGGUCUUUCCAGUCUGACUGGGGAGUCAUAGAUGCUAGAGCAGGCAUCCUCUGUGAAAAGGAAGAAGGACAUCCACACAGGAAGGCUGUUAUGUUUCUGAAUGGGUGUACUUUCAUAGAGAUGAAACAUGAUUGAAUACAAUUUGUGAUGAAAGAGGACUGGGUAAAAUCCAUGCAGUUAAUCUCUUGCUACCAGUUAACAUCAACCCCUGCUCCUGAAAUCCUCUGAAAUUUGGUGCUUAUUCUGUAUUAUAUCAAAGGGUCACAAAGAACAGGCCAAGCAGCUUAUUGAACCUAAGCAGCUUAUUGAACAUAAAUGCAAUCUUGAAUAAAAUGCCUGAAACAUCCAGUAUGUUAAAAAUGAAAUACUAAAUUAUAUUAAGCUUUAGUCUCAAUACUGACCCUAAAGUUUUUAAAGGUUGCAGCAGACUUAUGUGCUGAUAAUCUUGUAAGAACUAGAACCCAGUAGACAGAAUUCUGGGUAAUACAGAACAGAGUUAAUACCAAUACAUAGCAGCCAUCUCCAACUUGAAGACCUUUGUACUUCAACUCCCAUCAGUUCUACCAGACAACCUAUGGCCAGGAAUCACAGGAAUUGUUCUCUAAAACAUCUGGAAGGUGGAGAAGCCUGAUAUACAGGUUUAUAUCUGUUUAGUCAUUCUUAUUCUCAAAGUGUUGUACAAAGUGUACAUAUAAAACAUUUAAAAACUUUAACGGAAAUCUGGGAUGUUUUUCUACUUAAGCCACUACGGCCAGAAAUCCUUUGUAGUGCAUAUGUAUUUUUAGCCAGUUCAAAUGAAAUAUUUUGUCAGCAGAUUUCCACAGGGAGGUCAGCAACAGAAACACCUGUCUCAGUUGAACACCUGUGAUGUACGAUUGCCCUCGUGGGUACACUGUACAUCACUACACCAUGUGGAAUGGCUUCUACUGAAGCUGGGAAUAUUCGGCAACACAUCAUAUUUUUCCUCUUAUACUAUUUAAAUCAAGGAAACCAUGCAAACUUAGAGUGGUAUCCACUCUUCAUUAAACAAGAUUUAAAACUGGGAAGUAGACUAAUGCAUUAUUAAGAAACCAUCCUGCUGAAAUGACUGCUAUAUGUGCAUCAUUAAUAUUCUUCAUUGUAUGUAUACCUAGAUUUAAUAACAUCUACCCAUACAUUCUGUUUUUCUCUGAAGAAGAGUUGGGUGAGGCUAGAAACAUUUCCAGAAAUUGCUACUUGGGUUGCUUUAUCACGUUGGCUCUUUCAUGGCACUAUGCUAGGGGAAGCUAGCUGGGACAAACCAGCCUACAGGGGGCAAUCUGUUACUCAUCCACAACCUUGAAAGUGGCUAUUAAUGGCACUGAAAUUCCCCAAAGCAGGGAAGGGUAUCCUCACAGCUGGAUUACUGGAAUGUGCUAUACUGAGGGCUGUCUUUCAAAAUGGUCUAGAAAUGUUAGCCAAAACAGGGGAGCAACACUGUUAAUGGAGACUACUGCUUAUUUUCCCAUAAUGCCUGGCUAACUACUGGUGUUAAACUCUAAAGGCCUCAAUUUCUUGGAACCAGGUUGUGGAAUAUUGCCGCUUCCUGUAUAAACCUGCCUAAUCCCUAAGACCUUCAUCAGAUGUCCUUCUCCAUGUAUCCGUACCUCAUCAGGUGAAGAAGGUGGUCAUUAGGGAAAUUAUUUUUCCUUGGUGGUAUCCUGGUUAUGGAGUACCCUGACCAGAAUUACUUGCUUCCUACCUUUGUUGUAGUCUUUUUGACUCCAGGUGAAGACUUUUUAAUUUUCCCAGAGGUUCUAGUUCUCUGUUUUCAGUGUUUUUAGUCUAUUCAGUGUUUUCUAUAUAUUCUAGAUCUUUGUUACUAAUCAUUUUUUCUCUUGCUGAUUUUUAAGUUCAUUUUAUAUUGACUUCUUAUGGCUCCAUACUGGUUUUUUAGGCUGAUUCUUGUGCUGGUUUUAUUUGUUUUAUGCUGGUUGUAUUGAUACUGUAUUGCUAUUACUUCCAAUUUUUCAUGUCAUUGGGCUGCAUAUUGCAUUUUAUGUAUUUUUAAGUCUGAUCAACUGCCCAGAAAACCUGGUUGAUCAACAGUCUAAAGAUGCCACAAAGUAAAUAAAUUAAGGACAUUUUCAAAGACAAAGCCUAAUCCACUAAUUGACCUGGGAUCUCCUGACCUCUGCAGUCUCAUAACUACUGGAGAAUAAUCGAGAGGUGUAAAUUGACUUGAUCCCUAAGUACACUGCUCACUUCUAGACUAAUCCACUGUCCAAACCAGGUGCUUACUAUCCUUUGCUGAGUGGCAUAAGCCUCGGCUGCUCCUGAAUUAAUGAAAAACAAUGAUGCACUAAACGAGUGCAUCCCUAAAAUGCUCAGUUUAUUAAAACACGGGUAAAAGAUCACUUUGUGAAUGAGGACUGGAUUCUGUGAUGCUCUAUUCCCAGUAACCUUGGAAAUGAAGAGAAAGAAAAUAGGUAACAUCAGUAUAAACUGGUCACUACUGUGUCAAGUGUUAAACGCAGCUUACCCAAAUUUGUAACUAUGUGUUUAAGAAAAACUAGUACCCGAAAACUAUAAGAAAAUGAUGUGAGUUUUGUCAAACAUAAAGUCUUUUGGAAGCAGCUUCUAAACUGACUUGCUGCAUGAAUCUAUCUGACAAUGGCUCCAUUCAGACUAUCUUCCAAACUAUGGUAUGGAAGAUUGGAAAUGUUCUGUAUACCCCCUCCUCCCCUCUGUUUCCUGUUUAGUUCCUACCAUAAUUUGCCAUGACAUCCAAAUCAGCUGAGGGUGCUCCUGGAUCUAUUGGUGUCAUUUGAGACUCAAGUGGCCUCUGGGGCAUAAAGCGUCUUUUACCAGCUUCAGCUGGUAACCCAGCUAUGACCUUAUCUGGAGAUGGAUAGCUUAGUUUCAGUGAUCCAUGCCCUAGUAACCUCCCGUUUGGAUUAAUGUAAUGUCUUGUAUGAAGAAUUGCCUUUGAAGAUGGUCCGGAAAACUUCAGCUAGUACAAAAUAUGGCUGUGAGAGUUCUAACUAGGACCCAAUAUGUGAUCAUAUUCAGUGAUUAAAAAACAAACAAACAAACAAACCCUGAUGGUUUAAGAAGAAUUAAGGAUUGAUGUUGGCUCAAGGUCUGCAAAAUCAGGACGUUGGACAUGCACUGUGAUUAGUGAAGAUGUUGUGCAUUGUCAAAAAAUGUGCUUGCUUACAACUUAUUCUCCAUGCAUCCUUAGUUUUCAUUUGUCUUUCAGGCCCAAAUCCAGAUGAGCAGGAUGAAGUGCCUGGGACUAGCAAAGAUGCCUCAUGUUGUCACAGUCUUGUACUGCUUUAUGAAGCAACUAACAUCAGAGAAAACAAGUAAUCUGAAUUUAAGAAGGUGUGCAGCUUGCUCAACAACCUUGCCUUGGUGGUUUAUAUCUAAAUGUUAUUUUUUCCCAUGAAGAGGAAUUGUUGACUGAGGGUGCCUUUGUGCAUGCACAUUUUUGCCUGACCUGUUUCAUCAUUUGAUGAUUUGUAGCUGGCCAUGCAGACAGGUACCGCCAUUGGAAAAUAAUACAAACAACCCUACACCAUUCCCUGAGUUUUGCCCAGCCUUACUGGUCAGACAAUCACGUGGUUCUCCACGCAACAUGGUUUCCAUGCUCCCUGCCCCAUGCUUGCCAUGUAUCCUGGCAGAGGCACAAGCACAAUCUCCUUCCUUACACACUAUUGCUCCCUAUGGACCUCAGCACCAUCAUCCUGAUUGGUCCAUUGAGAUUUUGGGGUGGUUCUUCCUCCUUCCAAGUGUACCUGCAUUUCUGCAAUGCUUCCUAGCCACUCCAAUGUGCAAAGUAAUUUUUAUUGAAUUGUAUCAAACACCUUUGUCAUGAUUUCCCCCCUUCUCCAUCCAUGCAAGUUUCUGAAACUGAACAGGGAGACAGACAGAUCACCCAGUCAAUAGCAAUAAAGCAGGUGAUAAUGCUAGGGAGAUGAUGUUAGUAGAGAAGCAUUACAUGGGAUUUAACCCGACUGUAUUGGCCUUACAUGCUAAGCAGCCACUUCCAUGGUCACUCUUUCCGUAAGACUCUAGGGUGUCUCCACAGCAACAAAGGUAAAAUGGAGAUCCCGGUUCUGGACAACCAGAGAAACUGUGAUGAAGCAUGGAAACCAUCGAACAAACCACUAAUUAUAUGCACGGUUUCAGGAAACUAAAGGUGCUACAUGGAAAUGCCAUGACUGGGUCCAGACAACACAACAGUUUAGCAAGGGUAAGAAAUCACUAUGGCUACUUGUGAUGUGACAGUGUGGCUUAUGUCAGCAACACGGCUACAUAAUUAACUAGUAGCAUUUUAAUUGCAAUGGAUGAGCCAUGCACACAAACCAUCAUUUCAUGUGGCAGACUAUGGGCACUGAGUGAAUCUAUCCAACCCUGCACAUAUUUGCUUACAUUACAGUACAGUCAGUCUAACUGCCAUGUAAUACUGCGCAGAAUUGAAACCCUAUUUUGUUGCAGAAACGAAUACAAAGAUUGAAGCCAGUUAAUCAGCAGGCAGCCUAAUUUUGGGCCUAUGAUUUUAAUUUAUCACAAAUGGCUCACUGACUAUCAUCUUACUGUGAUGCUGAUUGUCUUCUUCAAUUCUCCCUAGUGGUGUCAAUAAUUAUGGGAACUUGGAGCUAAAUGCACAUGGCCUUCCUAUAGUAAGAGAGGCACCUGGGAGUCUUGCUAGGGAUUUUAGCUAAAUAAUCAUUCCUAGUAAGUUUAAGGGGAAUGCCAAACCAUUUCGGUGUUCAUUGGAGAGUCCAUGGAGAAAGAUUGCACUGCGGCCUUUUAUUUAGGAUGCAAUCCAAUGCAUGUUUAAGUAGAAAAUAAAUUUCUUCCAUUCCCAGCUUUCCUCAGUGAGCCAAUGCUGAAAGGUGUUGGACCUUUUUCUGCCUAUACAUGCAUAGGAUUGCAUCCUUAAGAUACCAAAAGGACCCAUCGCAUGUACUGCACACUGCCU